GACGAACGCUGGCGGCGUGCUUAACACAUGCAAGUCGAACGGAGCGAAUGAAAGCUUGCUUUUAUAAGCUUAGUGGCAAACGGGUGAGUAACACGUAGGCAACCUGCCGACAGGAUGGGGACAACAUUCCGAAAGGAAUGCUAAUACCGAAUGAAGUCGAGGGAGGGCAUCCUCCUCCGAUGAAAGAUGGCCUCUAUAUAUAAGCUAUCACCUGUCGAUGGGCCUGCGUCUGAUUAGCUGGUAGGUGAGGUAACGGCUCACCUAGGCGACGAUCAGUAGCCGGUCUGAGAGGAUGAACGGCCACAUUGGGACUGAGACACGGCCCAGACUCCUACGGGAGGCAGCAGUGGGGAAUCUUCCGCAAUGGGCGCAAGCCUGACGGAGCAACGCCGCGUGAGUGAAGAAGGUCUUCGGAUCGUAAAGCUCUGUUGAUGGGGACGAACGUGCCUAAUGCGAAUAGUAUUAGGUAAAG
rnacentral:rRNA from 1 species